UCAUACGUGUUAUGAAUUGUACAUAGUUUACAACUAUCUAUUUGAUAUAAUAUCAUUAAAAUAGUUUUAAUUUUUAUUUUUUUUAUGAACACACAUUAACCACAUUUAAUAUCCAACUAGCUAUUUAUUUUAUUUUAUUUUUUUUUUUUUGUUUGUUUUGGUUUGCGUUGUUUGUAUCACUUGACUCGACCGACUUUGAUUCUUUUUUUUUUAAUUCAUACGAGCGCAAAAAAAAAAAAAAAAAAAAAAAAAAAAGUUACAAAGUUAGUUACAAAGUUAGUUACAAAUUUAGCUACAAAGUUACAAACAAUUCACUGUAUUUUCCCGCGUACACCUCAACUGAUCACCAAACAUUUUUUGUAUUAUUAUGUAAAACGUAAGAGUAUGCAAAACAAAAAGAAAACAAACAACAAGAAGUUAUUAUCAGAUUAUUAUGGAGAUGAUAACCAAAGUGAUAGAAGCAUAGAUGUUGGUGGUCAUGCAACUAGUGAGCUAAAUACAUUAGAAGGAAAUUCAUUAAAAAUAGUAGACCAAGAUUUUAAUAGUUUUAUAAACAAUGGUAUGUUAGAUAUUUCAAUUACUCCGUCUGUUGAUUUAUCAAACAGUAAUAUUACCCCUUUUAAAUCUUUGAAAGAAACAAAAUUAAAACCAUUAAAAAAUAUACGAAAUAAUAUUGGUACUUGUGGUUAUACUGAUGAGGAUAGUGAUGAUAAUACAUUAAAAAAAAGUAGUAUAUUAAAAAAUGAUAAAGGGCAAAAUAAUAGAAAAAAAUCUGAAUCUAAUAUAAAUAUAGAUAUUCAUACAGAUAAUGAUGAAAGUAAUGCAUAUGAAAAGGAAAAGGGUAUAUAUGAACAAAGUCCAUUUUUUAAAAACAUGGAAAAUGAUAAUGUUUUUAGACAAAAAAAGCAAGGAAAGAAAAAUAAACCAUUAAAUGGAGAGGAAGAUAAAAAUAUGAAUGUUAGUGGUAGUGGUAGUGUUAAUGGUGGUGUUAAUGGUAGUGGUAGUGGUAGUGUUAGUAGUAGUAGUACUGAAGACCCUUAUGAUAAGAAGAAAAAGAGUAGUGAUAGUGAUAGUGGUAGUGGUGACGGUAGUGACAGUAGUAGUAAUAAUAAUAUGAACCGUAAUAAGGUAAAACCUAAUGAGGUAGGUAGGGAAAAAAAACAUGUACAUGAUGUGAAUAAUAUAAAUGGCAAUAUAAACGAAAGUAUAAAUAUAACUGAUUCAAAAAAUGAUUCGAAUGUUGCAACAGGACAAAACACAAAUACACUUUAUCAAAAACAGACGAACUCGUCUUUAAUUGGAGGAACGAUGAAUUCUGCUAUGGUAGGAAGGAACAGUUUUUAUCCUGACAAGAGUCUAAAUUUAAAAAUAAAUGAUUUAUCUAUGUCUCAAGAUUAUUUAGGCAGUAGUAACAUAAGUAUGUUAUCAUCUAGUAUACCGUAUAAAGAAGAAGGUUUAUGUUUUAUAAAGUAUAUAAUAGUCUGUAAUUUCAAAAGUUAUGAAAAUGAAAAUGUGAUAGGU
rnacentral:lncRNA from 1 species